rnacentral:antisense_RNA from 1 species
AGUUGCUAAAGCCAGGCCAGUGAGACACAGAGCUGAGACAGGCAAUGGGAGCCCUGGAUUAGGGGAAGAGAAGAGGAGGGAGGUCCAUACCGCUGCACAGUGAGGACAAGCUGAUUUCCUGAGGCAUCGAUGAGGCUCAUGGCACUGGCAUGGGAGAGGUUGGUGCAAGAGACCCCAUUGAUUGCCAAGAGCUGGUCCCUCUCUCGGAGUCCUGCUCUGCCAGCCUGGCUCCGUCUUCGAAUCUGAGAUGUUAAAGGAGACACUGUAG